GGGAGACUAGCCCCUGGUUUGAAUUAUCUGGUUCUCACUGGACUGUCCUUCCCAGGAGAACAUAUUUGCCGCAGCUGCUGUGGGCAGUGUCUGGCACAGGAGACCGUGAAUGAUGUUUAUCGUGUUAUUCAAGCGGGCAGUCGGCUUUUCCCACAGCCAUCAGAAUUCCAGACUUCUCGCUGACCUGUUACUUCCAAGGAGCUGGAGGUGGCGCCAGAGAAGGUGAAGUCCGAACCGCUUUCCCUCAGGACCAGGCUGAACCGGUCUCUUCUUUCAGCCUCUGCAAGGAGCCUGGACCUGCGUGUUAACCAGGGGAUGCAGGUGCUCACUCACAACUGCAGUGAGUUAACAGGUGGAAUUUGAGAGCUACGGCUCCUUCUUUAAAAACGUGCCGUAAAAAAGAAUCGCAAGGAGGUGGUUACUGUGGACAACUCACAUAGAGGGCUUCCGGCGCGGCGGUGGGGGCGCAGAGCCUCGGAAGAUGGAUGUUCAGAAACUUUCCUCAUGGUUGCUCUGCUGCGGCUGCUUUUCUCGGGCUGCUCCCUGGCCAGUACAGAGAAAAGGACUUUGAGGGACUCACAUCGAAGCGCACGGGGGUAAUUCGGUUCUGUGGAACAGGCUCAAACUCAAACAUUUUAAGAGCCAAAUUAAAAGGUGUCAUUCAGGUGACAGCAGGAGAGGUUAGGGCUGCCACGUGCCGGCGAGCCUUCCGCUCAGUGACAUGUGAGCUCCCCCGGACCCGGACCCGGAGCUGGGGGGUGAGGUCUGGGGCUCGGGAGCUGGGGGAGUCCUCACGCAGGACGGUUCCCCACUGACAGGGCUGUAGGCAUGUUCCUGCCCCUGUAGAUUAAGGGCCUUGUAACGUCCUCUGUGACUGUUUCCUUUGUUGUGGCAAUGCUUAGUGAUGAUGUUUUUUUAAAAGAAAGAAAGAAAAGAAUAAUUGUAGAAAUGACCAGCCUAGAUUCUAAAACUCAUGCCUUUUCUCUUUCUUCCCUUCCUUCCUUCUUUCCUUUUCCUCCUUUUUUCCCCCUCAAAAUGAUUUGAUGAUCGUUUCCUCACCUGUGGCACCAUUUUAAUUACUUACACCUGGUGUUUAAUGUCAUGUCACUUCAUACACGGUUCCCGCUUCCCUUCAGAGUCUCCUCAUGCUGUUUUGUGUGUCUGGCGCCUGCUGUCUGAUGUCCUCAGGGCCGCAUGUAGCGUUCUGCACCACCCACCCCUCCCUCUCCUAGUGGGGAGCUCCUAGUGUGUCCUCCCUACAAGUUUAGAGGUGAUGUUUCCAUGUGCUGCCUUCACUGAAUUGUGACUGGAUGGGGUGCAGAUUCUGCUGGCGCCUUGAAAAGUAAGGGAAGUAACCAGGACAGACGGAGCUGGGUGCUGGGAUGGGGUGCGUGCUCUGUGUACCGACUGCUUUGCAUUCAGAGAUCUGAAAUUUCUGGACUUUGGCCAUCUGGUUACCUUUUGCUAGCGGGCCACCUACUGGGUGAAAAGAUAUCAGAAGCUGGAGGCUGGGGGCUGGUAGGGAGAGAGACUGAGCCCGGACCAGUUGUCCCAUGCCCGUGAGUGGAGUGGGGGGAGCUCUGUAGGGCCCUCUGGAGAACCAGCAGAUGCAGCCCGGGAGACGCAGGCGUUAGAUUCCUGUAACGCAGAGGAGGCAGCCAGUGGUGGGGAGGCAUCAGUGAGGCCAGGGGAGCAGAAACCCUGCUGAUUUAAUAAAGGUGGCUCUUCUGGGAGAGCAAGCAUUUCGCCCCACCCCUGCCCCGUCCAAAGGACUAAGGAGAGGGAGGAGGGGCCGAUGUGGUCACCCCCUUCCAUCCCUCGCACCCCCACAGCUGACGUCUAGCCUCAUGGGGGCAGGACAGCAUCAAAUAGGACAUGAGACUGAAGCUUCAAAAUAGACAGAAGGCAGUUCUUUACUGAGAGUUACGGAAACGGUACAGAAUCGGACUGCUUGAGGUUAGCAGCUUUUGGAAGAAGAAGCAUUUCAGGUGUGUGACCAGUGAGCUGAAACAUGUCAGUCAGACUGGGGGUAACAGCUACUGAGUGGAUUUUCCUAGCACGGCUGGGAGCUGGCAGGAGGGGGCUUAGCCCAGGGUCUCCUCCUGUCCUGCACUGUGAGUGGUUUCUGCAGGCUUUCUCAGCUUGAACGGCGGUGGUUCUUUGCGGCUCUGAGGUCUGCCAGCCUCAUGUGACUUCUCUCUUCUUGUGCACAUGCUCUGACUCAGCCAUGAGUCAGACUCCGUGUCUCGGAGGGAAGCUCUUCAACCCACAGAAGCAGAGGAAGCAGCUUGUGAGUGACGGGGGGCAGGAGGUGACAGAGGAGCCGUGUGCAGGGGGCCAGCCAGGCUCCUCAUCACGGGGCAAGACGAUGACACGCCUCCCUCCCCACAGCCACACCUCCAAGCACCAGGCAGAGCACAGGGAGGGAGCUGCCAGCCCCAAGUUCUCGCAGCCGCUGUUUGGCGGGGGACUGGGCCAAGCCAGUGCUGCACCUGAGCGAGCUCAUCGUCAGCCCUGAGCCUGAACUCAUUCUGGUCCUUUUCACGUUCUCCAGAAAGCCAAGGAUCAGUGAGGUUAAGCCGUGUGUCCAAAAGCCCAGGUCGGCAUGACUUGGAAAUCAGUGUGGAUUUCAGUGGGACCGACUCUGGUGGUGGGUCGCAGAUGCUGUGGCGAGGCAUCCCCCAGUGACUGGAGGGAGAAGACCUAAGGGAGAUGGACUCACCGGCCACAAAGUGUGAGGGGAUGGUGAAAGAAAUGGACGUGGGUGCAGAGGACAAAGAGACCUGGAAGUCUGGGUGAACGUGGUGGUGUGGCGGCCACCUGGGGAGGACUGCUGUCCAGAGCGUAUCACAGACGCCUCGGGGUGGACCGCAGACGCCACGUGUGGCAGGAAGCCUCUAACCACACCGUGCCCUGGCUUUCACAGGGCAGAGUCGCUGGGCCAGUUCCCGAGCCCAAGGGCCCAUACUCUACUCUGCACCUGUUUUGUGGUGACACCUGGGUCUGGGCAGCCCGCCUCUGCCGCCACCCACAGGGGCUCCUCUCUCCAGGCUUCGGGGGGAGGCACCUGCUUUGCUUUCAGGGUUUGCAUGUCUGACUUGACUGCUCUCUUUCUGACAAGUGGCAAAAACACACCUUCUCAAAGGGACUCUGCUGGUAGCUCCUGCUGCUCCCACAGCCGUCCUGUCUUGCUCUGCUCAGCUGCCCCAGGACCAGGGGGUGAUGAGGCAGGCCCCCAGGACCAGCUCACACAGGCAGCAGGCAGUGAUGGGCGAACCCGGGAGGGAGGCUGACAGUGAGGGGGUAACUUCCCAGCCCCGCGGUGGAUGGGUCUCUGGUUCCAUAUGCAGUUGGGUGAGCUCCGGAUGGAACCUCUGUGGUCUGCCUGUAGCCUGUCCCAUCGUGGAAUCUCCUCUUCUUUUAGCUCCUGUAGAAGUGACCUUGGCAGUGACCCCAAGCCAGCACCUCAUCUGUUUGCUUGUCAAUGGGGAAAGCAGGGAGGGCGGCCCCUUCCCCUGUCAGUGGGCGUCUCGGGGGUAGUGGUGCAGAUGCGAUGGCGCGGACGCGAUGGCGCGCGGGAGCAGGGGUGGCACAGGAUGCUUUUCUAAGUGACCUGUAAAUAGAUCAUGUGAUUGUUGUGGAGUCAAAAAUGGUCACCUGGGAACCCAGCUAUGAGGCCUACAGAGUGCAACUUACAGGGACUAGUUCUCAGAUGCUGGGGUUAACCACCCCUGUGCCCCAGGCCCCGGAAGGAGCAAGGGCAGCAGUUCCGGGCUCAGCAGAUGAACUGUCUUAGUGAGCAGGCUGCUGAGAUGAGCUUCUGCUCGGACCAGGGAAGGCCUUUAGCUGCAGCCCCCCCUCAUCACACGUCCUUGGUCUCAUGCGGACGUGGCUCUGGAGCUCCGGCAGUAAGACGAGGUGGAGAGCCCCAGUCAUCACCCCCAGUCCUGUCCUACUCUGGCUUUGGGCCUGGCCUGUCUGCCCUUCCGACCAUCACACUCUCUUAAACGCUUCCAAAAGGAGACACGAGCAUCAUUUUGGUUUGAAGUGGGUAUGCUUCGAAAAAAUUCUUUUAUUAAAACAAUGGGUACAAAUACUUCACUUGGCCCCUGGGUCCUCUGCCAUGGCUCCCAGCUCAGAGUCAACGGAUGCAGCACUUGGCCUUCCCGCUGUAACAGGUGCCUUCGAUCCUGUUGAAGAGUGGGCAGGGGGAGAAGUUGCAGGUCCCCCCUUUCUUGGCACAUAUGUAGUGGUCAGACCUCUGGCCGAGACCUGUAAGGAGGCUGACACCUGUGGGAAGGGAAGGAAAGCACUUCAGAGUCUUGGUUUACAGCCGCAGGGACUUGUAAACACUCGGUGAAAGGACAGAGCACCCUUAGCAAAGCACUUCGCACAGUUUUCCCUUCCAAGGUCUUUGCACCCAGCUGAUCUGUGGGGCCGCUCAGGCAGUGAGGCAUCUGAAGAGCCCCUCUGUCUGAGGUCUCUGCCAGCUUUGGCCCAACAAAAGCGAGGGACAAGCAGCAGGGUUCCUGCCUGGAGAGCCUUAAGGUGUGCAGGGAGUUCGAGUUAGUCGCCAAAUGGACGUCCUACCACAUCGCACUGUUGCCCGAACACCACCAUCUGUUCCAGGAGUGCGGAAGCAUCUCUCUAACUCCAGGAGAAUUCCCAAACUCCCCUCACUCCUGUGCCAUUUAGAAGUCCUUCUGACCUGAAUCGCUGAUCCCCUGCCUCCCCCAUCACUGUGUCUGCUGAAAUCUAAGAUCCUUUAAUGUCAGGUUGAAAUUAUAGCUACUCUGUAACGGUCUCAUCAUUUUCCCAGUUAAAAUUUAUUUUGUCUUCCUGCCAACCAUAAUGUGAAGGUCUCUGGACUCGUCUUUCACUGUAUCCAACAGAAAAAGCCACCCUCUGACACCCCUGGUAAGUGGCCACUGCUCCAAGCCUUUGUUUUGUGUGCCUCUGUUGAUGAGUGUUAUGGCCUGAAACAUGCCCCCUCAGGUUCAUACCCUGUUACAUAAGAAUGUGACUGUGUUUGGAGAUGGGGCCUUUAAAGAGGUGAUGAAGGUUAAAUGAGGUCUUAUGGAUGGUCCCUAAUCAGUGUGAUGGUGUCCUUAUAAGAAGAGGAAAUUUGGACACAGACAGACACGAGGGAUGUGUGAGCACACAGAGGAAGGGCUGUGUGAGGACAGAGAGGGAAGCCCUCUGCCAGUCAAGAAGAAACCAAACCUGUCUUCACCCUGGUCUUGAACUUCUGCCGCCCAGAGCUGUGAGAGACAAGCGUGUGCUGUUGAAGCCACCCACCCGCACUGCGGCGUUUUGCUGCGGCAGCCCGGCAUGACCAAUGCAGUGGGUCAUUACCAACCUAGGAGGCAGGCAUUCUGCUCUCUGCUUGCCGGAAAGCUGGGUUUUAUACUAAUUGAAAUUGUCCUUUCAAUAACUUCCAGCUAGUGGCUCUUUUCCUGCUUUAUACAGAUAAGUCUAAUCACUCAGAAGGCAGUCCCAUUUUAAGUCAUUCUUCUUCUUUAAAAGCCUUCUUUUUCUCAUUUUUCUCAGUGCCUAGUUUCCAGGCCCUUCACAGUCCUGUUCAGUCUCCUCCGGACAUGUUCAGGUUCAUGGAUAGACUUCCUGAGGUCUGAGUCCUGGAAUGAAUACCGAGUACCUUAGAUGUGUCCCAGCUACCAACAGCAAGGAGGCUUCCCCUCUCUCACUGGCACUACACAGUCGUGCUGUCCAGUGGGGUAGCCCCAGCUACACAUGGUGACUUACGUUUGAGUUAGUCAAAACUACAGUAACCAAAUACAAUUAACUGUAGAUGUUUAGAGACCAGAUGGACCUGAGAGCUCAACUACUUCAACUUCUCUAUAAUCUUCUCCCCAGAUGAAGAAGCUGAGGUCCGGCAACACCCCCCGGGGCAAGCAGCUCCAGAGGCAGACCCAGGACCAGAUGCAAACCCCCUGACCACUACCCCAGUUCUCACGCCCCCUCUCUGCUGGUGGAUCAUGGUGUCAUCACAAUUACCAAGAACUCAUUUCUGGUAUUAUCUUCGAGGAUCCAGUGUGUUAUAAGACACAAAAGAAAUAGCAGCAUGUUUAGGGUCAGGAUACUUUGGUUACAGUCUGUGUUCUGGAAGGAACAUGUGUGAUUUUUAGCAAAGCACUCAAACUUUUGAGCCCAGCUUCUCAAAUUUAAAAUUGAGGAGACUAGACUAUGGGAUCCAUUUCCAAGAUUCUGAGGCUGAUCAUCUUUCCCUUGGUGGGGAACUAACACAUUUAUGGUUGCAUUUUAUCCUUUUCCCUAAUUUACAGACCAGGACAUUGAGGCCCAGAGAGAUUAGAUGUUCCUGUAAUCUGAUCAGUCAAUGAUUAGAUUAUCGCUAUAGAGGCAGAAAAAUAUUGGAAAAAUUCAACAUUGAUUUAUGAUAAGACUUCUAACAAAUAAGGAACUGGAGGAAACGUCCUUAAUCUGACAAAGAACACCUGCAGAAGCCUGCAGCAAACAGUACACUUAAAGGUCAGGCACUGAAAAUAUCCCAUGAGAUUGACCAUCAGACCAGCACAGCUGCUAUUGUCAUUGCCUUUCCACAUUGUGCUCGAGGUGCUAGCCAGGGGGAUAAGAUAAGAAAAAGUAAAAUGCAAGGGUUAGAGAGGAAGAAGGAAAAUUAUCUCUAUUUGCAGAGAUUAUGAUUAUAUGUAGGCAGUCUGAAAGGAAUUAAGAAAAUUUAUCAAAUUUGCUAUAUAUGAGAUCAAUAUACAAAAAAAGAAUUUUACUUCUGUAUAUUGCAACCAACAGGAACAAAUAAAAUUAAAUAAAAACACCAUAUAGAAUAGCAUAAAAUAUGCUUAGUUAUAAGUCUAAGAAAUUAUGUGCAAUACCUCCAUCAAUAAAUACAGUAUUUUUGUAAGUUAAAAAGGCCCCAAGUAAGUGGAAAUGCUAUUUAAGCUUUGGAAGGUCAUUGUAAAAAUGUCAGUUUUCCCCAAAUUAAUCUGCAGAUUUAACCGAAAUCCAUGAAAAUCCCAGGAGGUUCUUUCAGUGAGACUUGAUGAGUUAAUUCUAAAAUUCAUAUGGAAAUUCAAAGAUCCAAGAAUAGCCAGGACACUCCUGGAGGAGAAGGUGGGAGAACUUGCUCUCCUGGAUUAUGAGGCUAAUUAUAGAGCCACUGUAAUUAGACUAUGCGGUGAAGAUGCAAGGACAAACAGGCAAGUCUCACGGCACAAGGAGUGCAGGGGGAGGCCUGUGCGCGUGUGGGGAGCUGCUGUGGGACAGCAGUGGCUCAGGACAGUGGAGAAGUGGAUUUCUUAGUAGUUGGCUCUGGGACGACUGGAUAUUCAUGGUGAAAAAGGAAAAACGUUACCCUUGACUCACACCAGACACACGCAUGGAAAACCCCUGCCAGAUGGAUCAUAAGCCUGCCUGUAAAAGGAAAACAAUAAGCCUCUCUUCAUGCCUUUGGGGUAAAAAAAACCCAAAAGAUUCCUUAAGGAACAAAAGCAGUAACCCUAAAGGAAAACAUGUGACACAUUUAGCCACAUUAAAAUAACGUGGAAAACCUCUGAGAGAGCUUCCAUGAAGACGGUGAAAAAUUAAGGCACGACACAGGAGGAGAUACUUGCAAUGCUUCACAACCGGCAAAGGGCUUCUCUGCAGAGUAUAUAAAAAAACUACUACAAAGCAUUAAAGAAAAGACAGACAAUCAGACAGAAAACAGAGGCAGAGGACAAACAGGCACUUCACAAAAGAUAUCCCGGUGGUUGGUGAUUAUAUACACAAGUGCUCGACUUCUUAUUUAUGAGGGAGACGCACAUUGAAACUCCAGGGCAAUGCCACUACGCUCGCCAGAUUGCUAAAACGUAAGAAUGACUGACAUCGUCAGGGGUCGUUGGCACGGGUGUGGAGGGACGGGAAAUUCCGUUCACUGGUUGUGGGAGUGUGUGUUGGCACAGAAAGGCUUCGGAGAAUGGUUUGGCCUUGUGCACUGAGGUUCAGUGCCGUGAGCACAUCCUGCCACCCGGCCACGCCACCAGCUCUUGAUACGCAGCCAACGGAAAGGCACGCACAAACCAGGCUCUGUGAUUGAACGUUCACCUGGUAAGAGUAUAAGAAAUCCAGGAAGUUAUUGCCCUAAAGAGGAGGGCUGCUCGCCCUUGGGGGAAGGAGGGAGCCGUGCCUGGGGAGGAGAGCUCCUUUCGUGCCAGCCGAGUCCCAGCUCUUGCCUUACAUCGGGGUUACUGGGGUGCUUUUUUUAUACUAAUUCGUCAAGCUCGUGUUUCAUGUGCUUUUCCAGAUGCAUGUUAUAUUUUACAAUUAAACUGAAAAAAAAAAAAAUGUUUCCUCUGUGUAUUCCUAGCGCCGAGGACAUCCUGUGCUACGUGCAGCUUCCCGCGUCCUCUCCCGUCGGCGCACUGGGCCAUUUCCGUCCACUUCUCGGGCACAGGAGCUCCUCAGACAACUCACAGCCCCACCUCCUCCUCCCCUUUCCCACUAAGGAUGGCACUUGCCUGGACUUUUGCUUAUUCUUGUCUUGGCCCUCACUCAGCUGGCCUGAGAAACACAACCCGACACAUCACGUGGUGGCCUCUGGAGCACCGUGAGCCAGAGGAACGUGGGAAAGAGGAGACUUGCUUAUAGCUUCCUCAAGAAAGCUUUCCUGGCUCCUCAAGACCAGCUCAGCCCCACUGUCAGGGGUCCUCUUAGCACCGUGCACUUAACAGCCUCUCACAGCACGUUUGUAAUUAGGUGAUUAAUCACACAAUCGGUUUUCUCAUCAUGCUCUGCUUCUCGAAUGUGUGGUUGCAAGCGCAAGGGCUGCGUUUUCCUGGCCCUCCUCACGUUCCCAGGGCGAUGCCUGCACGCAGUAGCUCCUAACUAAGUAUUUGUUGAAUCUGUGAGGGAACAACUGCCACCUGUCUCGGUUUCUAGACACCUUGGCUGGGGUGCCGUCCAGCUGAGGAAGGGACCUGGGCCGCCUUGUCACUGUGACAUCGUUGUGUUCACAGAGGACCAUCUGUGUGCAGUAACAGUGGGCAACCCGUUUCUUUCUUCUCUCAGUGAUGAGAACUCCUAAAGGGAACGUCAGUCUUACUGUUUCCUGCGGUGACUGAGAAACCCUCGUCCAGUCGUGUGGGUCUUGAUUUCCCCACCUGUGAAACGACUGGGGCUACAGGGGGUGAAUGCACUCACCCCCGACCCUGGGGGCUCAGGUGGGGCGGGUGUGAGGCUGGGCUGAGCAGCUCGGCUUCCUGCACUGACCCUGAGCUGUCCAUCGGUCGGCAGUGGGGGGACAGCCUGUGGGCAGCUGCAGCAGCAGUGACAACCGCACAGCAGUGGCAACAACAACAACAACACAGAACACCCCACACGGUGCCUGGAAGCCGAGCAGAGAGCAGGUGAGGGCUGGGAGACACAGGCUGGGGACACCGCAUGUUCUAAGGCAGAAGACAUCUGGGGCUCUCCUUCCCCUCCAGACAGUGGCGCCUGGCACCCGACACCCCCCUAGAAAACGCUUGUGUUAAGUUUGCCCUUCCCUGUGGCCUCUUUCAAGAUGCGACCGUGUCAGGACAGUGGCAGCACCUUAAAGGUGGUGCUGGGCCUGCAGGGACCUCGGGUGCUCAGGGCCGCCCGGCUUCAGCCCCGCGGGGGCCGUGGGCGCUGCUCCUCCCCUCACAGAAGGUGAGCGGGUGUUGGCGACCAGUCCCAAGGGUCCCGAGCCCCCUGCUGAGAAUCCGUUUCCGGAAGGUUCUCUGUGGACAGGGUUUGCCUGUCAUCAGAGAUGCUUCUCCUGGGGGUAUCUCAGCGAGAUGGGUACACACUGGGUGCCCUGUUAUGUCACUGAUAGUUCUGUGCGGCGCGGUUAGUGAGCUUAGCUGUUCCUGCAUAUCCUUGGAAACUUAUUUCCUAUGCUUUGGAUUAGAUGCUCAUAAUCAUAUUUAGAGGUCACAACUGAGAAUAACUCUUCGCAUUAACAUAGUGGCUUUCAAACAUUUUUGAGUGUGAACUGAGCUGCAUUAAGGAAUUUUGCACAGCUGCUCAGUACGCGCGCACACACACACACACGCACACGCACACACACGCAGCUGAAACGACAGCACGCUAAGCUGCAGGGCCCCUUACUGUGUGGCCUGCCCAGCUGCGAGUUUCUAUUUGAAAAAUCACUAAAUUGAUUUCUCCACCUCUCUACUGGGUUCCAACUGGAACCACUGAACCUCUGCACUGGAAUGCUUCUGUGCCCAGUCAUCAGACGGGGGUCCUGAGGCACACCUGGAGUAUGUUAGGCAUGUCCGCAUGAUAAGAGUCGUGGCCGGGAGAAAAGCACACCUGGACCUUUCAGGGAACCCCAGAGCGCUAAUGCUUUUACAGCCAUCUGCCACAGCCCCUUCAGUUGUCAGCUGAGAAUAAGCCCAGAAUAUGUGACUUGCUCGAGGUCACUUGGUGAGUGGGUGAUGGGGCUGCGAUAAAAUGUGCUCCACCUUCUCCUGCAUCAUGGACACUACUGCCUUGAUCCAGAGGAGCUGGCCUCCUGUGGCCUGAGAGAGCGCUCCCCUCCUGGGCACCGGGGAAGGGCUUAUCCUGGAGGAUGUGAAUGGAUUUCUUAAGACGGGUGGAUCCCUGCCUGCCUGCCUGCAGGUGAGUCAAAGCUCCGGCUGAACUGGUCUUGUGGGCGGGGCGGGCGGCACCUUGCUUGCAGCAGGCACCUGGGAGGCACCUGGGAGGCCCCACCCUGCGAGCUGGAGAGAGAUGGGCAGCAGCCUGGCCUCCCAACUAGCCAGGAUGCUGACCUCAGUGUGGGGAGCUGUCUUGCAGACGGAGUAGGUUUUACUUCUGGUGACGGGAAAGCAGGACCCAGGCUUCCACGGGUCGAAGAGGAAAUGGUUGACCAGGAGCGAUGGUGGUGGGUGUGGGGCCCUGGCUCACACGCUUCGUCCACGCGAGCCGGGCCACAGCGACAGAAACGCUGAGGCGAAGGGAAGGGUUUUGAUAUUCUUUUAAGAUGCGACAGGAUCCCGUGAUUAAGGGAAAGAGCCAGUAACAGGGCAGAGGUGAAGGGCCUGCACAGAGAGGUGGGGAGUGGACGGGGUCCCCAAGGUGGGAGGGGUGACGUGGUCAGGGCUUGGAUGGGGCUUGUUUCUGCGCAGGAGGAAGGACAUCUCCGAGGCUGGGCAGGUGGGAGAAGACGCUGAGGGGCAAACGGUGGAGCAGUCUUCCCUUGAUGGCCCAGGGUUUCUGUCAGGGGAGGGGAGAGGCACUUCCUACCCGUGAUGGGGCUGGCGAGGCCCGAGGGCAGCUGGACAGGCUCCGAUCUCCACUGGGCCGUGGGAGGGAGGGCAGAGCGGGCUCCUGGACAUGAGCUGGGCACUGUCGAGGCCCCAGUGGAGGCCGGGGGCCUGGGAUGUGUCACGUCCUGGUCACGUUUUUCAGGUACGCUUGGAUCUGCACGGCCGUAGCCAGAUGUUUCGGGCCCAGCUUGCUGCGUGGGCACUGAACGUCCAGGCUUGAGCCCCGAGGUCUGCUCUGUGCCCCACAGAAUUGGCUUUGCAUUUCUGCUCUGAGUUUCUCUGUACUUCUGGCACCUGAGGACUUAAUUUCCGUUCUCUCGCUCUUGGUCCUGGAGUAACACUCACUUGCUCUAGGUGUUUUCCGCAGUCCUCCUCUGCGGUUGCAGCGCUGUCGGGGUCGGGGCCACGUCGCCGCGUCAGCACGUCUCCAGUGGCCAGAAGCCCUGGCGGCCGGGUCCAACGUGCACGUGAUGAAGAGGUGCUGCCCGGAGAUCGGGGAAGCUCCAGGCUUGGUCAGGUUUGCCUCGUAUCGCCCUUGGAAAGUUUGCUUAUGCUUUCCAGAGCCGUGAACAAGAAAUGACCCGGGCUGGGCUGUUCUCGGAAGAGGCUGUACGUGUCCCAGAAUUUCUAGCGCCCUCCCGGUUUCUCCCACAGGCACCUGACCUUGAUUCCAGCUGGCUGAGGCCACGUCCUUGUCUCCGUGGUUUCUAGGACGUGUCCGUCUCCCAGGCCACACGCCCGCCACUUCCCGGAGGCAGGAGCUGUUUGUGCAGGCACGGUGUGGGCGUUCCCACCCCUGUGCCUGCAUCUGGUCCGAGAACCAUCAGGCGGGCUGGAUCAGCCCCUGAGUCACACGGACUGGACCCCACAUCUGUGCCUUCGCCUAGAGGCGGGUCAGCUCAGACGUGGCGGCAUCUGGCUGCCCCUUCCAUUCUGCAGGAAGGACAAGUGGACAGGACAGCAGAUCUAACACGUCUGUGCUGAGGAAGGAACUGAGCGACAGGAGGGGCUCGGGGAGCACGCGUUCCCGCAGCUCUCGUCUCUGUUCUUGCUCACAUUGUGACGGCACCGUCGUCCCCACUCUCUAGACUGGCAGAGAAUAUCUGCCGUUCCCGGUAGCAGGUCCAGAGUGGAACUCAGAGCAUCAGCACAGCCCGGUGAGCCCUGGCCCGAGGGCCUCGGACCCCAGGCAGAAGCCGACUGUGCGGAGAGUCCUUCCUCGAGAGCCUUCCCCGCUGUGGGUUUUAUUUGCAAAAGCAAUACACGUGUGACAGAAAGCUAAACGACGCUGAAGUGCAUCAGCGGAAAAUGGAGGUGGCCUGGAAGUCUCUCUCCUUCAGACGUAAGGACUGCUGACAGUUUGGCUUCUCUCAUCUGUGACAUUGUCCUCUACACAAAUAGAGCCUGUGUCGUCUUGUGGAGGGAAAACCGGCAUUAGGAGUGGGAACCUGGCUCUGAGCAGGUGUAGACGCUGGUUCCAGGCAAGUUACCUGUGUCACCUCGUUGACUUCACCUGACGGCCUCGGGCGGGAGCACUCCUCCCCAGAGCGACUGUCCUCGAGUCCUUUCCUGUGUAGGACGCCUGUUGCUUUUAUAGAAGAAAGAUAGUCGUUUGAGAAAAACAUCAUGGUGUCGCAUUUCCUGUUCUCGACGCGCUGUUGGAAUUGCCCACUGUCCUCUGGUGAUGAAGCCCUAAGGGAGUGCCACGACUUCACAGAGGGCGUUUUUCCCAGUCUUCUCAUCUGUUCUGCCGCCAGCUCUCCCGGGCUCUGUGGCAGCGCUCAGGUUCCCUGACACACCGCCUGCCUCACGUCCGGGGGCUGCUUAGCGCCCAUGGUGGGCAGGGACUUCCCUGCCGCCUUCCCGAGAGGGGCAGCGCGGGCGCCAGGCACCCCUCCUGCCCCCUCAGACCGUGCGGAUCAGCCAGGCCUGUUUAGGCACGCGAACGGGCCGCCUGUCGCUAGCCCUUGGGUGGCUGCCAGGGGCCCGCCGCUUCCCCGGAAGCGCCCGCUCGGUGGUUUCUCUGGUUCAGUAGCACCGGUGUGACCAGAACGUGGUCAGGCCAUUAGCAGCAACUCCAGGAACGACCACUCAGGGAUGAAGCAGCGGCUUCCCAAAGCGCCGGCUGCCCGCAGGAGGGAGAGGAGAAUAUUCUGGAGGUACCUGAGUCUUUUUCUCUGGAAGGGUCUGGGCUGCAUGAAACGAUAGUGUGUGGGAAGGACCUGUCCUGUCCGAUUGAAGCCAGUAAGCUCAGACCUUCGCAGACCAGAGCAAGGACUUCAGGAACCUCAGCUCCGUAACAAUGAGACUCGUCCACGUGAUCCUCGCCGCUCUCCUUGCCGUCUUCCAGGUGCUGCCCGAUGGCACUAGGGCGCUCAAUUUUGAAAGACCCUGCUAUCUUCGGGGUGGAAUCUGCCUGAAGCAAGGGGCGCCAAACUGUGAGCCCUUCAGAGGACCCUGCCGAGCGCUCACCGUCUGCUGCAGAAUUAAGGGGAGCUGAUGGAAGCCCAGCUGGGGGGGAGUCCUGGCAAGAGAGCUGGGGCAUGGCCCCUCUUGUGCAAAUAAAAGCAAACAGCCUUGUCAAGUC